UACAGAGGUCUCAAGCGUUGUUCGGAUUCAUUGGGCGUAAAGGGUGCGUAGGUGGCGCGCUAAGUCAGGUGUGAAAUUUCGGAGCUUAACUCCGAAACUGCAUUCGAUACUGCGUGCUUGAGGACUGGAGAGGAGACUGGAAUUCAUGGUGUAGCAGUGAAAUGCGUAGAGAUCAUGAGGAAGACCAGUGGCGAAGGCGGGUCUCUGGACAGUUCCUGACACUGAGGCACGAAGGCCAGGGGAGCAAACGGG
rnacentral:rRNA from 1 species